rnacentral:misc_RNA from 1 species
CAGCAGCAGCAGCAACAGCAACAAUUGCUGCUGCAACAGCAACACCCCUAUCAAAUGCAGCAACAGCAACAACAACUACAUCAACAACCCUAUCAGCAACAGCAUCUACUUUACCUACAGCAGCAGCAGCUGCAACUACAGCAACCUCAGCACCAGCAGUCACUGCAGCAACAGAAACACCAUCCUCAACAACAAACAUCCUCACCACAGCAGCAUCCUCAUGAGCAAGAAAAAGGACAGUCCAUGCAGCAAACUAAUUCAUCACUGGUUCAGGAUCGAGUUUCAUCGCAACCUGAUACUGAUACCAUUGAAUCUUCUGCUUCUCCUCGCCCAGUUUACCCAAAUUGAUGACAUAGCAUUAUGGACAUGCUUAUGCUUAUCAGACAGGAUUAGCUUUGUACAUGCUCAUUGAUUUGAUAAAAGGGAAACCUCUCUGAUAAAAAAGAGAGGGUCCACUAACUAAUAUCUGAUUUAGUGAGCGGUUGAUAAUGCUAUUAGUUUGUUUAUACUGUUAAUUUUCUCAAGCAGUUUCAUGCAUAUACUUUCUAUUGUCAGAAAAAUCUGUCUUCAAACUUUUUAGUUCUAACAGCUGAAGUUUAUUUACUGAGAAAAGUAACAUUAACAAGUUGCCAGAAGCAACUAGCAAGUCGUGUAAACAAUCUCCUUACUAAAAGGUAAAAACUUCCUGCGCUUUGGAGAUUAAUUGGUUGCAAAUUUCAGCUUUGUUAAUGCUUUUCGAGAUCUAAGAACAAGAGGGAAGACUGCCUGGUAAAACGGAGGAUUUCUCACAGGAUGGAUAAUGAUCAAGCUUUCUCAACUUACGUUCUUUGAUGGUUACAACCUUGAGACGUCCUGAGCGAAUGGGUGUAUGUUUAGCGAUAGAAAAUUAGAAGUAUUUCAGGGCAGUCUUAUUCAUGAAAGGCUGUUUGAAUCACCUGAUGCGCAUAGGCGAAACCCGUCUUUUGUAUUGUAUGAUUAUGAAAUUUGCAUUCGAGUAGUCACUUUUAGUGUUGGAGAUUUAACACUUGUGUGCUUGUUCAGAUGGGUUGAGGAAAGAAUUUUGGGAAAUCCCAAGUCAGGUAAAUAUUUACUUAGUCCGCCAUAGUUAUAAAACCUGCAUGAUAUAUGUACAGUUCUCUCCUUGUUUAUUUGAUCCGUUGUUGAAAAAUGAGUCGAAGUGAUAAUGAGAAUAUUAUUAGGGCAAGAUUCAAUUUUUGGA